AGGACGAACGCUGGCGGCGUGCCUAACACAUGCAAGUCGAACGCGCUCCAUUCGGUAGCAAUACUGAUGAAGAGCGAGUGGCGAACGGGUGAGUAGCACGUGAGCAACCUGCCCCGAAGACUGGGACAACACCGGGAAACCGGUGCUAAUACCGGAUAUCCCUAUUGGACCGCAUGAUCCAAUAAGGAAACGUUUUUUCGCUUCGGGAGGGGCUCGCGGCCUAUCAGCUAGUUGGUGGGGUAAUGGCCUACCAAGGCAUCGACGGGUAGCUGGUCUGAGAGGACGAUCAGCCACACUGGGACUGAGACACGGCCCAGACUCCUACGGGAGGCAGCAGUGGGGAAUCUUGCGCAAUGGGCGAAAGCCUGACGCAGCAACGCCGCGUGGAGGACGAAGGCUUUCUGAGUUGUAAACUCCUUUCAGCAGGGACGAUUGUGACGGUACUGCAGAAGAGCACCGGCACUACGUGCCAGCAGCCG
rnacentral:rRNA from 1 species